GAUCCUGGCUCAGAACGAACGCUGGCGGCGCGUCUUAAGCAUGCAAGUCGAACGGCAAGAGGUAGCAAUACCUCCUAGAGUGGCGGACUGGUGAGUAACACGUGGGUGACAUACCCUUCAGAUGGGGAUAGCUAUUAGAAAUAGUAGAUAAUACCGAAUACGAGCACAGGGGUUAGAGAUCUGUGAGGAAAGGAGCUAAGGCUCCGCUGAAGGAAUGGCCUGCGGCCCAUUAGCUAGUUGGUGAGGUAAGAGCCCACCAAGGCGAUGAUGGGUAUCCGGCCUUAGAGGGUGAACGGACACAUUGGGACUGAGAUACGGCCCAGACUCCUACGGGAGGCAGCAGCUAAGAAUAUUCCGCAAUGGACGAAAGUCUGACGGAGCGACGCCGCGUGGAUGAAGAAGGCCGGAAGGUUGUAAAAUCCUUUUGAAACUGAAGAAUAAGCGUUGUAGGGAAUGACAGCGUGGUGACAGUAGGUUUUGAAUAAGCAACGGCUAAUUACGUGCCAGCCGCCGC
rnacentral:rRNA from 1 species